rnacentral:misc_RNA from 1 species
AAAGUCGUAACAAGGUUUCCGUAGGUGAACCUGCGGAAGGAUCAUUAUCGUGGGGGCAACCCCAUCGAGAUACCACCCUUGCCUUUGAGAACCGCCCGUUUCCUCGGCAGGCCCGCCUGCCGGUGGAUCACACAAACCCUUUGUACCAGCAGUCCCCGUCUUGCAAAAGCAAAAAUCAAAACUUUCAACAACGGAUCUCUUGGUUCUG